rnacentral:ncRNA from 2 species
GGUCACGAGUACCAGCAACCCGCCGAUUCGGUGGGAAAAGCCCCGGCUUGCUGGUCGGCAACCCUCCAAGGCGAACAGCGCGACGAGACGUCGCAGCGGCGGGGUGCUCCGGGUGACGACCCGGCCAGGCGGAUGCCACUA